rnacentral:rRNA from 1 species
AUAAUGGGUCAGCGACUUAUAUUCUGUAGCAAGGUUAACCGAAUAGGGGAGCCGAAGGGAAACCGAGUCUUAACUGGGCGUUAAGUUGCAGGGUAUAGACCCGAAACCCGGUGAUCUAGCCAUGGGCAGGUUGAAGGUUGGGUAACACUAACUGGAGGACCGAACCGACUAAUGUUGAAAAAUUAGCGGAUGACUUGUGGCUGGGGGUGAAAGGCCAAUCAAACCGGGAGAUAGCUGGUUCUCCCC